rnacentral:rRNA from 1 species
UGGUAGUCCACGCGGUAAACGGUGAACACUAGGUGUGGGAGGUGUAAUACCUUCUGUGCCGAAGCUAACGCGUUAAGUGUUCCGCCUGGGAAGUACGGCCGCAAGGUUGAAACUCAAAGGAAUUGACGGGGGCCCGCACAAGCGGUGGAGCAUGUGGUUUAAUUCGACGCAACGCGAAAAACCUUACCUGGGCUUGACAUGCCGAGAAUCCCGUGGAAACAUGGGAGUGCCCCGUAAGGGGAACUUGGACACAGGUGCUGCAUGGCUGUCGCCAGCUCGUGCCGUGAGGUGUUGGGUUAAGUCCCGCAACGAGCGCAACCCUCAUCCUUAGUUGCCAUCAUUAAGUUGGGCACCCUAAGGAAACUGCCGCAGUUAAUGCGGAGGAAGGUGGGGAUGACGUCAAGUCCUCAUGGCCCUUAUACCCAGGGCUACACACGUGCUACAAUGGGCGGUACAAAGGGUCGCAAAACCGUGAGGUGGAGCUAAUCCCACAAAACCGCUCCUAGUUCGGAUUGGAGUCUGCAACCGGACUCCAUGAAGCUGGAAUCGCUAGUAAUACGAGGAUCAGCAUGCCGCGGUGAAUACU